ensembl:snRNA Gm23715 predicted gene, 23715
GUGCCCGCUUCACAGCACAUAUAGUAAAACUGAACCAAUAUAAAGAGGAUCAGAACAUUGUCUGCCAGAGGGUAACAUGGAAAUUCUCAAAGUGCUCCAGAUUUAU